GUAGUUAAUAAAAAACAGCAUUAGAUGGAUGCCAGGGAUUUAAAUGUUUUCGUAAACACACUUACGUUAUCUAUUUAGUAAAUAAUAUAUUGAUAUGUUUAUUUAUUGGAAAUUAAUAGAUUUAAAUUUAAAAUAAUAAAGCGAAACAUCGUAGUAAUUAUUUUAAUAAACUCAAUUGAGAAUAAUAUAACGGUGAGUUAUUAUUAUUAGUUUUAUUACUUAAAAAAAUUGAAAAUUUUUUUAAAAAUUAUUUUAAAAGGUAAAAAUCCUGUAAAUUUAA
rnacentral:rRNA from 1 species